rnacentral:rRNA from 1 species
UACGUAGGGCGCAAGCGUUGUCCGGAAUUAUUGGGCGUAAAGAGCUCGUAGGCGGCCUGUUGCGUCCGCUGUGAAAUCCCGGGGCUCAACCCCGGGCCUGCAGUGGAUACGGGCUGGCUGGAGGCAGGCAGGGGAGAACGGAAUUCCUGGUGUAGCGGUGAAAUGCGCAGAUAUCAGGAGGAACACCGGUGGCGAAGGCGGUUCUCUGGGCCUGCUCUGACGCUGAGGAGCGAAAGCGUGGGGAGCGAACAGG